rnacentral:lncRNA from 13 species
GAAGCUUUCCCCGGCCUGCUGAGUCACCUGCCUGCUGCGGAGAAUGCGCUUAUUUUUAGCUGGAGAUGAUAUGACCUCCUAUUGUACCCGUGUGGACCAUUCCAUGGCCCUGCCCUUUGGGACACCACUGCUUGGGAGUUAAGAUGGUGGCGAUCUGGAGCCCAGCAGCCUGAUUGAAGGGGGCUUCACCACUUACUGACUGUUUGAUCAAGCAAGACCCUUUGCCAUUCUGAGACCUGACCUCAGAGCUCUGGGGCUGGAGCAGGAAGGGCACCGAGAUGUCAUCCCCUGCUCUACUGAGGUCAAAAUGGAAGCAAAGGAAGGGGCAGACGCUUGCCUGUAUCAGACGUCCAGAGACCCCGCUAAGACCUCGUUCAGGCAGAGCCACCUGUUAGGUAAAAGGCAGCUCCUGAAAGGCUUCACUCAUUCUGCCCUGGUACAGAAGCAGGCCCUGCCUCUUCCAGAUCUGCCUGGAGCUGUCACCUACCAGUGACUUCCAGAACCAACCUGCAAAUCUCUGCCAGUCGGUAGCACUGCUCGGACCUGAGCUCAGAUGAGACGUUCUGCAGCACUGCUCGGACCUGAGCUCAGAUGAGACGUUCUGCAGGCUGCUGAGAAAAUCCCCAACACAGCUGCAGGACACAGAAGUCACUCAGCAGGCUGAGUGACUGGUCAUAUCACUUCUCCUUAUCUCUCCUCCUGGUGACAGAGCCAAUGUCUGUGAGACCUUUUUAAACAGAAGCCUUGCUCCAAAUAAAAUUUGACCCGACACAGGGCCCCA